rnacentral:pre_miRNA from 1 species
CUGAUCAAGAUGGAGAAGCAGGGUACGUGCAUUACUAAAUCAUCAUGGAAAAUAACAAACACCACAACUCUACUCUUUAGUUUGAUGACACCAAACCCUAACCGAGUACCCUUCGGUUAGGGGCUCAUGUUUGGCAUGAGAGAUCAAAUGAGUUAGUAGUUCAUGUGCCCAUCUUCGCCAUCAUGACCAC